rnacentral:rRNA from 1 species
UACACAUGCAAGUCGAACGAUGAAACUUAAAUGAUUUCUUCGGAAUGAACUUAAGUGGAUUAGUGGCGGACGGGUGAGUAACGCGUGAGUAACCUGCCUUACACAAGGGGAUAGCCGUUGGAAACGACGAAUAAUACCCUAUGAAACUAUCACUUCGCAUGAAGCGAUAGUCAAAGUGUUAGCGGUGUAAGAUGGACUUGCGUCUGAUUAGCUAGUUGGUGAGAAAAAAGCCCACCAAGGCAACGAUCAGUAGCCGGCUUGAGAGAGUGUACGGCCACAUUGGGACUGAGACACGGCCCAGACUCCUACGGGAGGCAGCAGUGGGGAAUUUUGCACAAUGGGGGAAACCCUGAUGCAGCGACGCCGCGUGAUUUAGAAGGCCUUCGGGUUGUAAAAAUCUUUUGUAUAGGAAGAAAAUGACAGUACUAUACGAAUAAGGUCCGGCUAAUUACGUGCCAGCAGCCGCGGUAAU